CACGUAGGCACCAAGCGUUGUCCGGAUUUAUUGGGCGUAAAGAGCUCGUAGGCGGUUCGGUAAGUCGGGUGUGAAAACUCUGGGCUCAACCCAGAGCCGCCACCCGAUACUGCUGUGACUCGAGUGCGGUAGGGGAGCGGGGAAUUCCUGGUGUAGCGGUGAAAUGCGCAGAUAUCAGGAGGAACACCAGUGGCGAAGGCGCCGCUCUGGGCCGUGACUGACGCUGAGGCGCGAAGGCCAGGGUAGCGAACGGG
rnacentral:rRNA from 1 species